GGAGGCAGACACAGGUGGGACAUUGCCUUGAAAACAUGGAGAUGACCAUCUACAAGCCAGUGAGAAAGGCCUGGAACAGAUCCUUCCUUCCCUCAUGGUCCUCAGAAGGAACCGGCCCUGCUGAGCCCUUGAUCUUGGACUACUAGCCUCCAGAAAGGUUAAUUAUGCCUGCCCUGGCUGUCAGCUCAAGAUGGCGUUAGCAAGUGUAUGGACACGUUAGGAGUUAUACUGAACCCCAAGUCAGGUGCACAACCUUGAGGUCAGCACUAUAAACCGAUACCCCAAAAUUCAGGCUUAAGUCAAAACCAAAUCCCAAACAGCUAAUACUAUCAAACAAGAGGAAGAGAAGAACUUCACACUGGCCUGAACUUUCCCUCAUCAGCACAUCUCAGGGAAGAUCUACUUGACCAUGACAUGAACUGAGGAUUGAUCUAUCGCCACCACACUUGAAAUUCAGUCUUUUCCUGGAAGCAGUGAUUUUAGUCAUGUUAGAUAGAAGUCUUCCUCAUCCUGGCCAGAGUGCUAAAGCACAUUUUGAUCCCCCUGGUCGUUAGUAAGGGAUGCAACAAAACAACUUGCCAGAACCCCACUUGAAAGGAUCAAUGCCAUGUGGCACUAGUUUGCCAUAAAUCCAGCCUGUUUCUGGCAUGUUUAUAGCACAGCAACUGGCACCUGCAGGUCACAACAGCUUCCCCACCUCAAUGCCCAUCCCCUGCAUUAUUCUCCAGGACCCUACAAUGCAGGCUGUUUCCUUGGAAUGAAGAUGUGAAUAUGAAUCAACAAGAGGCAGGAGGUAUCUGUCAUAGGGAUCAAACUGAGCUUGUGAAAGUCAAUCUGGAGAUUUUUUUUUAACCUUGUGAAAAAACAAACAAACAAACAAACAUGGAAGAAAAGCAUCACAUUUCCAUCCACUAAUCGUUUUGAUGGGAUGCUCAUAUGUCUUAACACCUUCACGGUUAAGAGAUGCAGAACAUUGGAUAAGAAUAUGCGAAUCAGCCUAGUACAAAAACUGUGGGGCUCUUGCCAGUGACUUUUGGGCCAAAUCCUGUUCUUGCUUUUAGGGAUUUGGUCUCUGCCAAGGAUGUGACAGAUUCUUGGAGGCUAGAAUGCCAUUUUGCUCCAUCUCACACCCUCAGGGAAGAACUCUUAGGACACUAUUGACCGUGGCUGGAAAGGAGUAGAUGUGGCAUUGAUCUUAAAGGAAAAGGGGUAAAAGGAUGGUAAUGAGUAUGAGUACAUUUUGCCCCAGGAGAUCACAGCCUCUUGCCUCUGGAGGUGGAGGACUGGAUGAGAUGACCUCCCAAGAAUCGGUCCAUUUCUAAGGUUCUAUGUAAUUGAUUGCUUAGAUGGGCCGAGAUUUCUGCACCUGGUGAAUCAAAGGCUACCUAAGGUGAAGAAGAACACUUUAGAGGCUUGACUUGGCUUUUUGUAUAAUCACUGCUCCCAGGAGUUUGGGUGAGUGGGAGGGGUCAACAAAAGGAUAAGUUAAUCAACAUUUUCAAAAGCGCAUCUGUUCAUCAAGCCUUAAAGAAAGAACGGCACACUAGGGAAAACCCAAAUAAAGGGAACAUUUGUACAAAAAAGCAA